CGGAGAGUGUGGUGAGAGGCAGAUAGAGCCUUCUCCCAGGGACUCCCCUAUCUCGGCCGGUGGGUGAACUAGGGGGCCGAGGGCAGACUGAUGGCUGUGUCCUGCAGGGUUCCAAAACCUUCACCACGAAGCCCACUGGCCAGGCUUAGGUCUUGUAGGGUCAACAAACGUCUCCGCCAUCCCCACCUAAUGGUGCAGUCUCCAUGGGUCGCAGCCCUUGGGACCCAACAAUGGUCUCCAUGAGGAGCCUGAGCACCAGGUCCUGGGCACCUGGCUGGCUCAGUGAUGUGGGCUGGGCAGAUCUCUGGGAACUUGGCCCUAAGAGUGCCCUAGGCCCGGGCACUGGCAGGAGGAACCAGACUGGAACUGAACGAAAGCUCCCAGGCAGGGCAGUGGCAGCAGGAAAAGCAGAAGAGAGUCACCACCUGUGGAAGCGCUGAGAAAGGAAUUGAGGUUUGACUGAUGGAAAGAGAAACUCAGUUCAUCCAUGUACAUCAAGUCCAUCUAGUCAAGGCUAUGGUUUUUCCACUGGCCAUGUAUGGAUGUGAGAGUUGGACUAUAAGGGAAGCUGAGCACCGAAGAAUUGAUGCUUUUGAACAGUGGUGUUGGAGAAGACUCUUGAGAGUCCCUUGGACUGCAAGGAGAUCCAACCAGUCCAUUCUGAAGGAGAUCAGCCCUGAAUAUUCAUUGGAAGGACUGAUGCUGAAGCUGAAACUCCAAUACUUUGGCCACCUGAUGCAAAGAGUUGACUCAUUGGAAAAGACUCUGAUGCUAGGAGGGAUUGGGGGCAGGAAGAGAAGGGGACGACAGAGGAUGAGAUGGCUGGAGGGCAUCACUGACUUGAUGGACAUGAGUUUGGGUAAACUCCAGGAGUUGGUGAUGGACAGGAAGGCCUGGCGUGCUGCAAUUCAUGGGGUUGGCAAAGAGUCGGACACAACUGAGCGACUGACCUGAACUGAACUGAUUCUCUUCUCAGCAAGUGAAACAGUGGCUGCUUUGCUGGAGUGUUUUUUAAUUUUUUUUUCUUUUCCUUUGGCAGUAUUAUACCUGAAUUCCUGAUUAGUAUUGUCAGCAAUGAAGUCCUUUCCUUAGAACUCAUGUCUACAUUCAGUAACUGGCUAUAACAGGAAUAUCUCUGCAGAAUCUAAACUAGUCAGGAGCUGUGCUUCUGGUGUUUCAGUCUCUCAGAGAUGUGCUAAGUUUACUUUCAAGUCUCAAAUUGUAUUGUUAAAUCUGUAAAUGGAUCAAUUAGAUGCCAGUUAGGUACCAAUCUCUGCUUUUAUGACUGUAGUUCAUUUCUUAUUGAAAUAUAAUUCAUGGAACAUAAAAGACACUAUUUUAAAAUGUAUAAUUC
ensembl:lncRNA